AUUGAACGCUGGCGGCAUGCCUUACACAUGCAAGUCGAACGGCAACAGGUCUUCGGAUGCUGACGAGUGGCGAACGGGUGAGUAAUACAUCGGAACGUGCCUAGUAGUGGGGGAUAACUACUCGAAAGAGUGGCUAAUACCGCAUGAGAUCUACGGAUGAAAGCAGGGGAUCGCAAGACCUUGUGCUACUAGAGCGGCCGAUGGCAGAUUAGGUAGUUGGUGGGAUAAAAGCUUACCAAGCCGACGAUCUGUAGCUGGUCUGAGAGGACGAUCAGCCACACUGGGACUGAGAAACGGCACAGACUCCUACGGGAGGCAGCAGUGGGGAAUUUUGGACAAUGGGCGCAAGCCUGAUCCAGCAAUGCCGCGUGCAGGAUGAAGGCCUUCGGGUUGUAAACUGCUUUUGUACGGAACGAAAAGCCCCGGGCUAAUACCCUGGGGUCAUGACGGUACCGUAAGAAUAAGCACCGGCUAACUACGUGCCAGCAGCCGCGGUAA
rnacentral:rRNA from 1 species